rnacentral:rRNA from 1 species
GACGAACGCUGGCGGCGUGCUUAACACAUGCAAGUCGAGCGGAAAGGCCCUUCGGGGUCCUCGAGCGGCGAACGGGUGAGUAACACGUGAGUAACCUGCCCCAGACUUUGGGAUAACCCUCGGAAACGGGGGCUAAUACCGGAUACGACACAGCUUCGCAUGGGGUCUGUGUGGAAAGUUUUUCGGUUUGGGAUGGGCUCGCGGCCUAUCAGCUUGUUGGUGGGGUGAUGGCCUACCAAGGCGACGACGGGUAGCCGGCCUGAGAGGGCGACCGGCCACACGGGGACUGAGACACGGCCCAGACUCCAACGGGAGGCAGCAGUGGGGAAUAUUGCACAAUGGGCGGAAGCCUGAUGCAGCGACGCCGCGUGAGGGAUGACGGCCUUCGGGUUGUAAACCUCUUUCAGCAGGAACGAAGCGUAAGUGACGGUACCUGCAGAAGAAGCGCCGGCCAACUACGUG